rnacentral:lncRNA from 1 species
CUCCCCAGCUGCAGUGUGGAGCACAUUUUUUAUACCUGGUCCUGCCCAGACUGUCUACUAUGAAGAAAUUAACUGUACCCCAGCUUAAACCAGGACAAGCUAAAAAAUAAGAUUAUCAGCCUAAUACAGUUACCCGAGACAGUAUGUUGGAAUAAAACAAAGAGAAACAAACAACAAGAAACAAACCAACAAGAAAACCUGUCUGACAGUAAGAUGUAUUUGUCUGGUGAUGAUUCGAGUGUAAUUUUGUCUCGUUGCUUUGAGAGAGUAGAGCUGCAUGUUCAUGUGUGGUCCCAGUAAUCAGGGUGUGGUCAGAUUUUUGAGCUCUGGGAAGGGGUUUUUGGAACAGUCCUGCUAAUUUCUUUAAGCAGACAGUUUUUCAUCCCACAAGAAAUAUUAUGAACUCAUGGUAUUUAUGGCUCUCAGUGUCUGCCAGUCCUCAUUGGAGUCAUCAGUACAGAACAAUUAUGUUUGCAGUGCUCAACUUCUCAGUGAUGAAGUCAGAUCUUUUCCUUGCUUAUUGAAUGAAUUCUCCUCUCUGCACAACUUCUGCCAAUGAUUCUCUUGAUGAAGGAAGAAGCGGGUAGAAGAAACUACGGUCUCCCAAUAGACCUCCAUUCCACAUAAGUGUCAGAUAACAGGCUCAAGCACAGUGUGGACCCAGCAGGUUCCAGACAGGAAUGUGAUAACCAGAAGUACCAAGUGUUUCACUGAAACAAGAAAAUCUGUAAUAGGACCUACUGGAUAAUUUAUUCACAAGGAGUUUCUCUGCACUUUUCUCCCUUUUAUGAGAGGCUGUCUUGCACUUUAACUGUGAUCAUUAGAGACUUUCUCUAAGAUUUUUUGUUAUUAUUAUUUUGUUGCAUAAACAUCUACCUGCCUUGAGAGAUUUGUUAUGUCUUUUUCUCUCUCUCUCUCUCUUUUUUUUUUUUUUUCCCCCCGUGGAAUUUGUUUCAAGUUCCAUAGACAAACAAUAAUAAAUCAUUUAGAUCGGGGCUUAUCCA